rnacentral:lncRNA from 1 species
UUUUUUUUUUUUUUUUUUUUGACAGUCUCUCAGAGAGAGAUGAAAGUGAGUGAGAAAUGGCCACAUAGCAACUCUUGUGUUCUAGGAAGUUGAUAAACAGUGGGCCAGCUCUUCCCUUGGUGGCUGUUUGGAAUCGUGCAGGGCCUUUAGAAUGCUAUGGCUAAUGCAGCUUUCAUCAGUGAAGGCAUAAGUAGUAGUAAUAUUUCUUGUAGCUAUUUCAGUCAUGCUGAAUAAAUCAGAACCAGACAUAAGGGAGAGUUGUGGACAGAAAUUAGAGCCUCAUGCUUUCACAGUACUAUCUCACUUGUCGAGUGAUAAUAUGAAGCAUUGAUCCUUAUUAAUUUUGUUGUCCUCCUUGGAAAAAACUUGGCCUGGUAGCUCACACCUAUAAUUAAAGUUAUUUUAGAGGCUGGGUAUGGAAGUUUGAGGCCAACUUGGGCACAGUAUGAGACACUGUCUCAAUAACAAAACCAAAACCAAAACCAACCCAAAAAUGCCCUAGAGAUAACUUAUCAGUCACACAUUAGUACUGUAACUUAGAAAACCAGGCUUUGGAUUGGAAAGAUAGCUCAUCAGAUAAAAAUGUUUGCCACUAAGCCUAGUGAUCGUAGCUCCAUCCCUGAGUUCCCCUCUGUGGAGGAGAGAACAGAGUUCCCAAAGUUGUCUUUCGACCUCCACAUGCUUAUAUAUCUAAACACAUACAUAGGAAUAAAUAAAAUUUAAAAUGUGAUAUAAAAAUUCAAAAGAAAUCUAGCCCUUGACCUUGAUAUUUUUCUUGAUUCAUGUUUUUUCUCCCUCUUUGUAAAUAUCUAAAAAUUAUUUUUAUUAUUGCUAUAUUACAUAUAUUAUUAUCAUUAUUCUCUUUCUGGUGUGUGUGUGUGUGUGUGUGUGUGUGUGUGUGUGUGUGUGUGUGUGUGUGUGUGUGUGUGUGUGUGUGUAUUGGGAAAAAGUCCCAGCUAGAUGCAUGUGUGUGUAGGUUAGGGGAAAACUCCAUGUAGUUUGUUGUUUUCUUUCACAUUUAUGUGUUCUAGGAUCAAAUUCUAGUUUCUGGUAAGUGCCUUGUGGCUUAUUCACUUCUCUGGUCAGUCCAUCUUUGAAAACAUUUUUAGGUUAUUUUAUUUUACAUUUGAGUGUUUUUCCUUUAUGUUUUGUGUGUGUACCACAUGGCUGGUGCCCUUGAAGGGCAUUAGAUCCCCUGGAAUUGAGAGUUAAAGAUGGCUUUGAGUCAAGAGCCACACAUGUUCUUAAUCAUUGAACCAGCCCCAGCCCCCACUCUGUUAAAGAACAUUACUCAUUCUUGGAAUCCCCUCUUCUACUCUUUCCCUAAACCCAUCCUUCUUUUUCCUUAAUGUCCUUUUUAAAAAAAACAAAACAAAAACAAAACAAAACAAAACAAAGCUGACUGUAUUAGUCACUUUUCCGUUGCUGUGGUAAAGUACCAUGACUAAGGCAACUUAUGAAAGAAAGGGUUUAUUUUAUUUGGCUUAGGUUCCAGAGGAUGAGAAUCUGUUGUGAUGGGAAAGCAGCAGGUAUGUCAGCUUGAGAAAGAAGCUAAAGGUUGAUUUUAUGUCUUGACUUGUAAGCAGGAAACAGCAUGGAAUCAAGAUGGUGUGAAUCUUUUAGAUCUUAAGAGCCUGCCUUCAGUGACAUACCUCCUCCAUCAAUGCCAUAGUUCUUAAGCUCACACCCAAACACUGCCAUCAACUGGGGACCAAGUAUCGAAUAUCUGGGAUAAUGGGGACAUCUCAUUCAAACUAGUAAAUACAAUUAGUACUGACUGUGUUUACAUGGUCCCUGUCUUAUCCAUGCUAUAUGGUUGACUGGCUUGUGCAAUAAUGCAGGUAACAAUGGCUCUUUGAGUUAAUAAGUGUAGUUGUCAUGCCCAAAAGACAGCAUUCCACAGCAGUCCUUCCUAGUCACUGGCUCGUAUGGUCUUCUGCCUCCUCUUCUACAAUAUUUCCUAGGCCUCGUUUGAGAGAAUGACAAAGAUGACCCAUUUAGAGUUGAACACUUCAUAGUUACUUUCAUAGAGCUUUAACCAACUGUGAGUCUCUGUAUUAACCUAUGCCCACCACAAAAACUUUAAUUGACUAAAGUUGAGAGCAGCAUACAUCUAUGGCAAUGAGCAUAAUAUUUAGAAGAUGGCUUGAGAACAUGUCCUUUAAGCAAAACAGCAGUAGUAGGUUCUCAUGUAGGGCUUUUGAUUUCCCUAGUCGUGGACUUUUUGAAGUAAGUUUAUAGUACCAGGCAAUAAUUUCCUCCUGCAGUGCAGUCCUCAAGUCCAAUAAUAAGUCAGUUACCACUUGAUGGUCAUGCCACUGUUUUACCAGUGACCUGAAAGCUAUUGUAGCAUGCAGGGGCCACCACUAGGUGGAACUAUUGAUGGAUGGUUCUCCUCUCCAUACGUAUGGUGCUCAUAUCAUUUUCCACAAUAUUUUUGGUAGAAUUCCCCUUUUGCUUAUGGACCUGUUUUAUGUACGUACAGUAGUAAACUAGCAGUUAAGAGAAUUAUUCCCAGUAACUGUCAUGCAGAAUAGGUAAUUAUGACUAGGCUUCAGCCUGAAAAAUCAAUAAGGAACUCAGAAAUUUAAAUUUGAGGUAAUAAAAUAUUAAAUUACGUUCUUAGAAAUAGAAGAGGAGAUUUGAAUCCUCAUAAUAUAUCACAGAAACUGCACAAUAAUAUGGGAGUUUAUAUGAUAUGAUAAAGCAGCUGCUUCAAUCUGGGAAGCAUAAAUAGCAAAGAUUGUAGCAUUCUGUAGAAGAAAAAUGAAUACAUAAUCCAAAUACAGACGCAGAUACCUAUUACUAGCAUUUGGUAGUCCAAGAAGGACUUAAUUCGUUUAAAGGCAUUCAGAUCUAUGUCCAAUUUAUUGAAAACAAAACAAGCAAACAAAAAGUGGUAUAGGUUAUAGUGGGCUGGGACGGCAAUUUAAGAAUCCUAUAUUCAGCUAAGAUACCUGGCUUAGCCUGUUUGAAGCAAACCAUGGAAACCAGAUGUGACUCAUAAUAAAGUUACCUUUGUCUAAGAAAGAUAAGAUAGAACACUUAACUAGUCAUGGUCUUACACACCUGCAGCCUCAAACCUAUGGAGGCUGAGUCAAGAAGAUUGCUUUGAAUCUGAUGAGCAUCUGGGCUACAAAGUCGCAGACUACAUCCUGUCCCAAGGAACCAAAAAGAGACAGACACAUACAUACACUAACACACUUGUUGUUGUUGCUUUUUGAGACAGGAUUUCUCUGUAUUUCUGAAAUUCUGUAGACCAGGCUGGACUCAGAGAUCUGCCUGACACAAUCUUCUAAGUGCUGGGAUUAAAGGCAUGCACCGCUCACCUAUGAGGUAUAUACACUAACAAAUUCACACACACAAACCAAUCUCGGUGUAUAUUCAAAGGUAUAGAGGUUGAAGCAGGAGGAUUGAGUUAUCUUUGUCUAAGAAAGAUAAGAUCUACAUUAGCUAGUCACAGUUGUGUACACCUGUAGCCCCAGCACUAUGUUCAAGAGCAGAUGAAUUUUUAGAGUGAGACCAUGUAAUC